rnacentral:rRNA from 1 species
ACUCAAAUGAAUUGACGGGGGCCCGCACAAGCAGCGGAGCGUGUGGAUUAAUUCGAUGCAACGCGAAGAACCUUACCUAGGCUUGACAUGGCGUGUUCAGUCACCGAAAGGUGGUGUCCGCAAGGAGAGCGUCACAGGUGCUGCAUGGCUGUCGUCAGCUCGUGCCGUGAGGUGUUGGGUUAAGUCCCGCAACGAGCGCAACCCUCGUUCCUAGUUGCUGUUUCUAGGGAGACUGCCGGGCGAACCCCGGAGGAAGGUGGGGAUGACGUCAAGUCCGCAUGGCCCUUACGUCUAGGGCUUCACACACGCUACAAUGGCCGGGACAGUGGGAUGCGAGGGCGCGAGCCGGAGCCAAUCCCCCAAAGCCGGUCACAGUCCAGAUUGUAGGCUGCAACUCGCCUGCAUGAAGUCGGAGUUGCUAGUAACCGCGCGUCAGCAUAGUGCGGUGAAUGCGUUCCCGGGCCUUGCACACACCGCCCGU